GAUGAACGCUGGCGGCGCGCCUAACACAUGCAAGUCGAACGGUUAAAGCACCUUUUAGGUGUGUAUAAAGUGGCGAACGGCUGAGUAACACGUGGGCAACCUGCCCUCCUCUUGGGGAUAGCCUCGGGAAACCGAGGAUAAUACCCGAUACUUCAAUGUGGCCGCAUGACGACAUUGGGAAAGCUUUUGCGGAGAAGGAUGGGCCCGCGGCCUGUUAGCUUGUUGGUGGGGUAGAGGCCUACCAAGGCAAUGAUGGGUAGCUGGGUUGAGAGACCGACCAGCCAGAUUGGGACUGAGACACGGCCCAGACUCCUACGGGAGGCAGCAGUGGGGAAUCUUGCACAAUGGGCGAAAGCCUGAUGCAGCGACGCCGCGUGCGGGAAGAAGGCCUUCGGGUUGUAAACCGC
rnacentral:rRNA from 2 species